CAGCAUCAAUAAACCCUAGGCCUCAAGCUCAGCUUCCAAAUUACGCAUCUCCUGUAUAUAUAUAGCCGCACGCUAUGCCGCUUAUUCUUGCAACUUCGCCUCCUCCAUAAAUAAACACAGAUUUGAGAUUCCCAAUUCACCAGACUCAGGUAGAAGUCAUCUUGAAGAGCUGGUGCAUCCAAAACUUGCAAUUAUAAUGCGAGAGUGAGCAUCAGAGUUCCUUUGUAGAUCACCAUUGGAGCAAGUCAUAUAGUUUUAAAAGCUCUUAAACCACGAAUUUCUAGCUUAUUGCUAUAGUUCUCUCAUUCACCAGGAAAACUAAGAAAAUUGUAUUAAUAAGAAUUAGGGAAUUUGUUUUGUUUUUAAAGUUUCAGAGUAAUAAGUGAGGAGGGAAUUGUAUUAAGAAGAAUAGAGAAUAUGGUUUUUGUUUUGUUUUGUUUUUAAAGUUUCAAGAGUAAUAAGAGAAGAGAGGCAUUGGAUGUUUUUUUCCCCAAGUGUAUAUUAUAAUUGUCUAAGAAAAAACGAAACACAGACAAAGACAAUGGAUUUUU